rnacentral:tRNA from 2 species
CGGGAUGUGGCGCAGUCCGGUAGCGCACUCGGCUGGGGGCCGAGUGGUCGCAGGUUCAAAUCCUGUCAUCCCGACCA